UUAAUUCGACGCAACGCGAAGAACCUUACCUACCCUUGACAUCCUCGGAACCUAGCAGAGAUGCUGGGGUGCCUUCGGGAGCCGAGAGACAGGUGCUGCAUGGCUGUCGUCAGCUCGUGUCGUGAGAUGUUGGGUUAAGUCCCUUAACGAGCGCAACCCUUGUCCUUAGUUGCUAACAGGUAAAGCUGAGAACUUUAAGGAGACUGCCGGCGAUAAGCCGGAGGAAGGUGGGGAUGACGUCAAGUCCUCAUGGCCCUUACGGGUAGGGCUACACACGUGCUACAAUGGGCGGUACAGAGGGAUGCAGAGCCGCGAGGUGAAGCGAACCCCAGAAAACCGCUCGUAGUCCGGAUUGGAGUCUGAAACUCGACUCCAUGAAGUUGGAAUCGCUAGUAAUCGCAGAUCAGAACGCUGCGGUGAAUACGUUCCCGGGCCCUUGUACACACCGCC
rnacentral:rRNA from 1 species